GAAUAUUGGACAAUGGGCGCAAGCCUGAUCCAGCAAUGCCGCGUGGGUGAUGAAGGCCUUCGGGUUGUAAAGCCCUUUCGGCGGGGACGAUGAUGACGGUACCCGCAGAAGCAGCCCCGGCUCACUUCGUGCCAGCAGCCGCGGUAAUACGAAGGGGGCUAGCGUUGUUCGGAAUGACUGGGCGUAAAGGGCGCGUAGGCGGCGAUUUUAGUCAGGCGUGAAAGCCCUGGGCUCAACCUAGGAACUGCGUUUGAUACUGGAUCGCUUGAGUGUGGGAGAGGAUGGUGGAAUUCCCAGUGUAGAGGUGAAAUUCGUAGAUAUUGGGAAGAACACCGGUGGCGAAGGCGGCCAUCUGGACCACUACUGACGCUGAGGCGCGAAAGCGUGGGGAGCAAACAGG
rnacentral:rRNA from 1 species